UGGUAUAUAUAGAGAGAGAGAGACAUCUGAGUGUAGGACUCCGCCGCCCCCACCGCUUCACCGCCCUACAACGGCGAUGAGUGAACUCGGCGGCCACUGCACUUCACCACCAUACCAGCUGAAGACGGUGAUGAUCAUUGGAAUACUCGGUUCUGCGACCAGACUCCUCCCUUUCACUUCCUACUUAUCUCUGCCCUACCAGCCGAGGUUGAACCAGUGAUUAAAAAAUGAGGUGGAGGAGGAUGUAGUGGUUGCUCAUAAAAUCAAGUUUCCAUUCUCAUGUCUUUCUGAGGCUGGCCGAAGAGUUGAAGUAACAAAAAGAGAGGGGCCAUUUUGCAGCUCCUAUUGGACAAAUUAAUUAAGACUACGCACUGCCAAAAACAACCACCUAAAUCUGUAUUUUACGGAUAAUGAAAGGAGGGUGUAGACAUCGAUGUUACCCAUAACGCUUCACCAUUUGCGCUCAUAAACGAUUAUGUUUUUUAGAUGUCGAAGUUCACAAGGUUUAAUGCGAAUGAGCUCGACGCUAGGGCAAGAUACCAAUUACUUCAAACAAGGCCCGAGGAGUACCCCAGACAAGCGUGCACGGACCUUUUAACCUUGGUAAACCAGCUCGACCGAUUCAACAACAUCGUUACGGGACCACUAAGAGUUGCAUUAACCACUCGGCUUCAGUCGGUGCAUCAAUGCACCAUGGAGUUCUAUAGUACCUUUACCUUCACUUCAAGGUGUGACCCGUUCGACAACAAAGGGGUUGC